AGUGUUGCUGAGGAGACGCUGAUGGGAAAAGGAGAGCGAGGCCAUGUCCUAGAUACCUUCAGUCUACCCUGGAGGAAGCACAGCACAGCUUUAUUUUCAUGUGAGCAUCAGCACAUAUCACGCAAGAGAAGUGUGCAGAGUGUCCGAGACCUUGGAAGAGCUAGCUGGCUGACCAGUCGAAGGUUGCCACAUGACUUGAGUAGGACAAUAUGAGUCGAGAGAGGGAAACAUUGUUGGAUGAAAUCGAAUUGAGUUUAUAUACUUUAACUGAGGACAAUUUACGUUACCUGUGUGAACGUAUUGGAGUAGGAGGCAAAGAUGGGUCAGAAGUCAAAGGAAAGACUCAACGCUCAUUGCGUCGUAUAGUAGGGGAAUAUUGUGAAAAUGUCAAUCUAAUGGAAUCAGAUGAGCAGGGAAUGUCUCGGUUACUCCAACUGAAAGAAGACAUCAAAGGAAUACAGGCAGAUGCCAGGGGUGUGCCCACGAGUCCCAGCCAAUCAGCGAUAGCGGAGGUGGACACCUCACAAGCAAGCUGCGACGGAGUACCGAAUGAGGAGGGAGGAUCUCGGUUGCCUAAUAACAGGAAGUUGGCGGAUCCAGCUCCAGAGUGGCUCAUUAUACCAGAGCAGAGGGAGUCACUAGAUCCUGAUUGUGACAGUGGCACACAGUCUUUGCAGCAGGAGGCAACAGUGCUGCUGGAGGACUGUAGGUUUAUGCUGGGGCGGAGAUUCAACAUCAAAGUGGAAGAACAGGAGGAGAAGAUUUUGGUCUUUGCUAAUGAAGGAGAGGGUCCCGAUUCCUCCCACUCAUCAGUGGAGAUAUUAUCUACACCAGGGGAGAAACACCAGGAACUUGACAAAGCAAAGAGUUCUCACCACAGCCCUCAACGUAAGGAGAGAUCCACAAAACGAUCACAGCCUAAACGGCACCUGCACACACACUCUGGAGAGACGUCAUCCCACUGUUCAGGUAGCAAAGAAAGUUUAUCUUCUGUGAGUUCUUACCAAUGCCCUGAAUGUAAGAAGAGGUUCUCUAGUAAUGCAGGUCUUCAAAAACACUUGCGAUUACAUGUUGGAAAGAGGCUUUUCCAGUGUUCACAGUGUGACAAGAGUUUCAUAAAGAGUAAAAAUCUUUACCAACACCUGCCAGUGCACUCUGGAGAGAAGCCUCACCCCUGCUCUGACUGUGGCCGAACGUUCUCUACAGCACGGUAUUUAACUAAACACAAGCGUAUACAUUCAGGGAUUAAGCCUUUCUGUUGCCCCCAUUGCGACAAGAGAUACACCAGAUCAGAUCAGUUGAAAGUUCAUAUCAUGACGCAUACUGGGGAGCGGCCUUACCAAUGUGGUCGAUGCGAGAAGAGUUUUAAAAUGAAGGCAAAUCUUAAAGAGCACCUGUUAUUACAUGAAGUAAAGAUGUCUCACCGCUGCCCUGACUGUGAUCAAAGGUUCUCCGCUGAGGAAACUUUGAAGGAACACAUGCAGUUACACAAACGAGAGAAACCUUUCCACUGUCUGCAAUGUGAGAAGAGGUACAGUACUUCAGAUGAGUUGAAAGAACAUACGAUGUCUCAUACCGAAGAGAAGAUUAACUUCCGACUUGUUUCUGAGAAUAGAUCGCCAAGUUCCAGAAAUGUAGAAGAACAAUGUCCGGAGACGGCCCAUACUGUUGACAAACCUGACCUCGGCUCUGACUGCGGAACAGAUUUUGCUCAACAAGACAAGCUGGUAAAACACCAGCAAACACACACUGGGGAAAGCCCAACACACAUUGCCGAAAAGCCAACGCACACUGGGAAAAAGACUCACUACUGCCCUGAAUGUGGGAAAAAAUACCAUAGCACUUCACACUUUAAAGAACACCUGCGUUCACACACUGGUGACCGACCUUACCAGUGUUCUCAGUGUGAAAAGAAUUUCACAAAACAAAUCCAUCUUAAGCGCCAUAUGUACUCACACACUGGAGAGAAACUAUACCGCUGUGGAGAUUGCAAUUUAUAUUUCCUUAAUGAAAUCGAAUAUAAGAGACACAAGCACAUCGGAGAGAAGCCUCACCACUGCUCCGUCUGUAGCGUUCGUUUCUCUUUACUAGAAGAUCUAAAAGCACAUGAAAGGAUUCACACAGGAGAGAAUCCUCACCACUGCUCUGACUGCGGGCAAAAUUUUGCUACAGCGGGAUGUUUAAAGAAACACAAGCUUUUGCAUUCAGGAGAGAAACCUUUCCACUGCCCACAGUGUGAUAAGAAGUACACCAGAGCGGACCAGUUAAAAGAUCAUAUGAAGAUACAUUCUGAAGAGAAGCCUUACGAAUGCGCUGUUUGUGCAAAAAAAUUCCACGAUUCUAGGCAAUUAAAAGUUCACCAGAGAGCAGUGCAUGUAGCAUCUUCUUACAUUUGCUCUGACUGUGGAAAGAGCUUUGGUCUACUGGGCAACCUUAAUGCCCACCAGCGAACACAUACUGGGGAAAAACCUCACCAGUGCCCCGUCUGCGAAAAGAGGUACACAAAACGAUCACAUCUUAAAGAACACAUGCGUACACACACUGGUGAGAAACCUUACCAGUGCUCUCAGUGUGAGAAGAGUUUCACAACACAAACAGGUCUUAAUCAUCACCUGUACACACACACUGGAGAGAAGCCCCGCCACCACUGUCCAGACUGUAAUGAAAGUUUUACGUCUUGGAUACCCUUUAAGAGACAUAAACAACAACAUACUGGAGAGAAGCCUCACCUCUGCUCUAACUGUGGUCUUAGUUUCCUCAUAGAAGAGGACUUAAAAGCACAUGAAAGGAUUCACACUGGAGAGAAGCCUCACCACUGCCCUGACUGUGAAAAACGUUUCUCUUCAGCAGGUAAUUUGAAAAAACACAAGAGGUUACAUACGGGAGAGAAACCUUUCCACUGCGAGCGUUGUGAUGAGAAAUUUACAAGAUCAGAUCGGUUGAAAGUUCAUAUGAUGUCGCACACAGGAGAGAAACCUUUCCAAUGUCCUGAAUGUGAUAAAAGCUACAAUAAUUCGACCCAAUUGAAAAAUCACCAGAGAAUAAUACAUAGGGGAGAAAAACCGUACCUUUGCUCUGACUGUGGAAAGAGCUUUGGCAAACUAGGUAACCUUACAGAACACCAGCGAACACACACGGGGGAAAAGCCUCAUGUCUGCCCUGAGUGUGGGAAGCAGUUUGCCCACGCAAAACACCUAAAGAGACAUCAGCGAGAACAUACGGGUGAAAAACCGUACCAAUGCCCUGACUGUGAGAAAUGUUUCUCCCGGGUAGAUUAUCUAAAAACACACCAGGUAACACACAGGCCUCCUCACAUGCGCUCUACUGUAGAUAAACCCUAUGGCUGCUCUGACUGUGGGAAGCGUUUCGGGCAGAUCUCUGGCCUUAGAGCACAUCAGAAAAUCCACACUGGAGAAACUCCUUAUGACCGUACUGGGUAUGGAAAGAGUUUUGUAAACCUGUAAAAUCGAAAGAUACACGAUCAGUUGGACACUAGUGAGAAGUCAUACCACUGCUCUGACUGUGGGAUAAACGUUGAUCAGGCGGAAACCUCUUGAGACACCAGGUCACCCCUGAAUUGCCUGAUAUGAAGGCAUUGACAAUUGGCAAGGAGUGGUGAAUGCCAUUUUACAUCUACAUAGUCAUUUAUCGGACACUCUUAUCCGACCUACAGUUAGUACAUCCAUCUUAAGAUGUCUAGGUGAGACAGCCACAUAUCAGUCGUAGUAGAUUAAGUACAUGUUUUUCUUAAAGUAUCUAUCAGCAAAGUCAGUGCUAGUAAGAAAAGAGGGGGGUGGGUGUUGGGGUUGAUACUCUCAGAUGUUUUCAGAAUAUGGGCAGUGACGCUGCUUUCCUGACAUUAACUGGAAGCUCCUUCCACCAUUGUGGUGCCAGGACAGACCAGAACGAUCACUGUGCUGCCGUAUAUUGACUUCUACCUUUUGUAUAUAUGGAUUUUGAUGUUGGUCCCCUUUUUGUAGUUAGGAUGUAAAUAUACUGUUUAGUUAGCGUCGGAGGAUGUUUAGUUAGCAUGUAAAUAUACUGGUUAGUUAGCGUCGGAGGAUGUUUAGUUAGCAUGUAAAUAUUUAUUUUACCUUUAUUUUACUAGGUAAGUCAGUUAAGAACAAAUUCUUAUCUUCAAUGACGGCCUAGGAACAGUGGGUUAACUGCCUGUUCAGGGGUAGAACGACAGAUUUUGUACCUUGUCAGCUUGGGGAUUUGAACUUGCAACCUUUCGGUUACUAGUCCAAUGCUCUAACCACUAGGCUACACUGCCGCCCCAGUGUAACCAUAUACUGGUUAGUUAGCGUCGGAGGAUGUUUAGUUAGCAUGUAAAUAUACUGGUUAGUUAGCGUCGGAGGAUGUUUAGUUAGCAUGUAAAUAUACUGUUUCGUUAGCGUAGGAGGAUGUUUAGUUAGCGUAGGAUGAUGUUUAGUUAGCGUCGGAGGAUGUUUAGUUAGCCUAGGAUGAUGUGCAAUCACAAUACAUACGCUACAGGUCUCUUACUGAACUGCAUGUCUGUUUGGUCAAUUAUUAAAAUUUUAGAUAAUAAAGACAAUUUUUCAAUGAC